CCCAAGUCCUCAGACUAUACUCCCGACCCUCAGCAUCCAUGUAGAAGCUGGGCAUUGUUCAGGGUGUCCAUCACUACAGGGCUAAGGGAGCAGAGACAGGUGCAAAGACUCAGCAGAGAAGCCACUGGGCCACCUGACCAAGACUGUGAUGCAGGAAGAAGCUGCAGGGUGUCAGGACUGCUGGCCACCACCAGGAAUGAGAGCUGCGCAGGCUCUCGGAUGGAAACACAGAAGGAGGAGCC